UUGCUGUGUCCCUUAUUGCAGUAAGUUCUACUAAAUGUGACUUUUGUUUAUUGAAGGGUUAUCUGGUGAUGUUUUGAGGAGUUCAACUACCUGGAAGUCCCACCAAGAUCCUACUGAAAACCUCCUUUGUGCCAAAGCCUAGUCCCUCUCAGAAAUGGUGGGCCACUGAGGCCAGUGAUGAGGAAGAAUUUAAGAGGAUUGAGAAUCCUUGCAUACACUGCUGUUUGUUCUUAGAACCGCAGCAUUCCUGGAUUACAAAACUUAAAGGUAUCAUUAAUUAUUAAGGAUUUUAGUAUAUAUUAACAUUAUUAAGGUUUUUG
rnacentral:lncRNA from 1 species